UACAGAGGUGGCAAGCGUUGUUCGGAAUUACUGGGCGUAAAGGGCGCGUAGGCGGUCCUGUAAGUCUUGUGUGAAAUCCCUCGGCUUAACUGAGGAACUGCACGAGAUACUGCGAGACUUGAGUUCGGGAGAGGAAAGCGGAAUUCCGGGUGUAGCGGUGAAAUGCGUAGAUAUCCGGAGGAACACCGGUGGCGAAGGCGGCUUUCUGGACCGACACUGACGCUGAGGCGCGAAAGCGUGGGGAGCAAAAGGG
rnacentral:rRNA from 1 species